UGUAAUUGUUAUUCGAUUUUCUUCCGGUAUUUAAUUUUUUUAUUUGUAAAAUUUGUAGUUUGAUAACGAUUAAUACUCGACCACAAUUAGUUUCUUAUCUAUUGGAUACGGGAUUUACAUCCAUGAAUGGCAUAUUCAAGGCCAAUUCCAUUGACCAGUUCUUUAUCUGUAAAGACAAAGCUAACUGUCGGUCAUAACAACAAAGACAUUGCCAAUCAAUAUAAGGGAUAUUAUCGUUACCCUUAUUUUCGUCCAAAUCGUGAAGAGUUCUAUGAUAUCUGUAUAUCUGAGUCGGAUAAUGUUAUUUCGAAUUUUGAAAAAUGGAAUAGAUACCGUCCAAUCAAUCAUUUCAUAGGAAAUCCAGAUUAUAAACAGUGGACACCGCAAGGAAGAUUAGGAACAUUUUUUAAUACAGUCGACAGGAAUAAAAUGCCGACAGAUAUGAUAUAUAAAAUUCAUAAACAAGGUUUUUAUUACGAAAACAAUUUGAAUAUCAUCAAAUGUCAUAAAUGUGAUUCUACUUAUUGCUCAGAUACAAUUGGAAAUAUAACACCAUGCCACUGGCCACAUUGUGACUAUGUAUGCGCAAGCAAAGACCGAUGUAGAACCAAUUCAAAUGACAAUUAUGAAACAAAAAUGACUCAAAAGCCGCUGUAUAAUGCCAGAAAUCAAACAAAUACAUCUGAUGCUCUGAUUCCAACUAUUAAACUCAGUAUGCAUUAUUGCAAAAAAACCAUACAGGGAUGGAAAAUUGAUGAUGAGGCAGGAAGAGAUAUUGCUAAAGAUAUGAAAGAAGCAAAGGCUACAUCAAAAAAGAUAAGUGACAUUAAGAACAGUAUGUGCAUUAGAUGUGGUAGUGAACCGCGUGGUAUAGUAUUUCAGAAUUGCUAUCACUGUGUGACUUGUUGUCGGUGUUCAGAAUGUAUAGAUUAUUGUCCAAAAUGCGAUGCCUACAUAAUGUGCAGAGUUAGCUUAGAUUCUGGGAAAUCAAUGUUUUAAUGUGACAGAUGCACAACAUUUUCUGCUCAAGUAAUAACUCAUGACUGUAAAAAUGCAGUAUUCUGUCAGCAAUGUUCACACUCCAUAGAUUUUUGUCCUCGAUGUGACAAUCCGAUUUGACACAAGAACUCUUAUAGAGUUUGUUAUUAUUUGUUUUCCAUUAAACUUUAAUCUCAGGUAUGGUGAUAUUAUAUACAAUAUAGGGUUUACUUAAAAGUGUGCAGCGGUCAAAUAUAAAUAAUUUAUAACAGUAUGUUGUGAUAUUAUAACAUUUGAUACGUUGUUUCGGGGCUUUUGUUUUUACUUAUGUGUUAAACGAUACUCAUUUGCCGUCUAUCAACCAUUUUUAAUUACUUUUAUUUUCCGUGAUUGAUAGUUUCUUAAUUUUUUUUCAAAUAUAGGUACUAGUAUCGCUUUGUGACUUUUUGAUUAAUAUCUUUUUGAAUCUACUGGUAACUAAAUGUUGUAUGUAAUGAAAAGUUAACGAUUUAAUUAUAUGAAGAAAAAUUGUUUCAAGGCAUAACAAUAGGAAGAUCUAUCCAAACAAUUUCAAUUUCACCAAUUGUCAAACAGAGGCGAAAGAUACCAAAAGUGUGCAAUUCAAGGAGCUAAAUACAAUAUAUGUGUCUAUGAUUAGGAAAAAUCAUAACAAGUUAAGUAAAAAAAAAUUGAAAUGUAGAUAAAGAAAAUCAUUACAUAAUUAAAAAAGUUCUUUAUUUACCAAACUAGCAGUAUUCUAACACACAGCGUCUGCACUACAUCCAGACGUAAGACAACUUGACCAACACGACUAUCCACAAUAAAGAGUUUGUUUCCUACAAAUAUAUCUAAGUGUCAUUAAUCCCACUCCCAAAUAAGAAAUAAAUCAAUGACUUGGAAUGUAUAAUGUUAUACAAAUGGUGAGACUUUAAUAAAAUAUUGAAUCUGAAUCUGAAUCUGAAUCUGACUGGUACAAUGUAAAUGAGUUUUCGUACACCUUCAAUUUGCUUAUAUUUACUAUAAUCUCCUAUUAACUGUACACUUGUUUGUUGGAGAUAAUUUAACUAAGUAAAGUUCAGGAUUAUUUAAACCUGGGCUUCUAGCAAAAUAGGUCUGUUUCAUCAUUUUUUGUUCAUGGUUGUCAAAAAUAACAUUUUUAUGAUAGAUUUUAAAAUACGUUUAGGAUAAAAUUGAGAAUGGAAAUGGGGAAUGUGUCAAAGAGACAACAACCCGACCAUAGAACAGACAACAGCAGAAGGUCACCAACAGGUCUUCAAUGCAGCGAGAAAUUCCCGCACCUGGAGGCGUCCUUCAGCUGGCCCCUAAACAAAUAUAUAUACUAGUUCAGUGAUAAUGAACGCCAUACUAAACUCCAAAUUGUACACAAGAAACUAAAAUUUAAAAUAAUACAAGACUAACAAAAACUAGAGGCUCCUGACUUGGGACAGGCGCAAAAAUGCGGCGGGGUUAAACAUUUUUAUGAGAUCUCAACCCUCCCCCUAUACCUCUAGCCAAUGUAGAAAAGUAAACGCAUAACAAUACGCACAUUAAAAUUCAGUUCAAGAGAAGUCCGAGUCUGAUGUCAGAUGUAACCAAAGAAAAUAAACAAAAUGACAAUAAUACAUAAAUAACAACAGACUACUAGCAGUUAACUGACAUGCCAGCUCCAGACUUCAAUUAAACUGAUUGAAAGAUUAUGUCUUCAUCAUAUGAAUAUCAGGCACAAUCCUUCCCGUUAGGGGUUUAGUAUCAUACCAUCAUAACAUAUAUGAGAAGAACAUAACACGUGUCAUGCCAACAACUGGUUUUUAAAUAAAUGUGUUUAGUGCCGAUGCAAAGACCCUAUAAGUGAAUCAAUAUUAACGCCAAAAUAUGCAAUCUUUAAUGACCUGACAACAGUAUCGUAACUAUAUCCCUUCUUAAUAAGUCUAUUUAAAGGUUUUGUUAGCUUCAGAGGUGAAUACUGACAUUUUUGUGCUUUAUAAAGAAUAUUUCCAUAAAAAAUUGGAUGUGAAAUACCUGAACGUAUAAGAAGUCUGCAUGUUGAGCUAUAUUUACGAAUGAUGUCCUUAUACCGAUGAUAAAAUUUAGUAAAUGUUUUGCCUAGUUUGUGAUAUCGAAAACCCUGGUGUAAUAAUUUUUCAGUAAUAUAUAAAUUUCUCUCGUUAAAAUCUAAAACAUUGUUACAUACACGAGCGAAUCGUACAAGUUGAGAUAUAUAAACACCGUAAGAUGGUGACAAGGGAACGUCACCAUCUAAAAAUGGAUAAUUAACGAUAGGAAAUGAAAAAUCAUCUCUUUUAUCAUAUAUUUUAGUAUUAAGCUUUCCGUUAAUGAUAUAGAUAUCAAGAUCGAGGAAAGGGCAGUGGUCAUUGUUAGUAUUAGCUUUAUUUAAAGUAAGUUCAACAGGAUAAAUUUCUUUCGUAUACAUACUGAAGUCGUCAUUAUUGAGAGCCAAAAUAUCAUCCAAAUAUCUAAAAGUAUUAUUAAAUUUGUGUAUCAGAUGUUGUUUCGAUGGGUCUUUGCUGAUUUUUGUCAUAAAUUGUAACUCAUAGCAAUACAAAAAAAGGUCCGCAAUAAGUGGUGCACAGUUAGUCCCAUAUAUUUUGUAGUUAAUAUUGCAGGUGUUCAACGUAAUUCAGGUCCAAGUGAGUUUUUUCAGCUUAAACAUUUUUUAAGUUGGUGACUGCAGAAAUAGCAGUUUGGGAAGUAUUUUGCAAAAGGGCAGGAGUGUGUAUAGGGCAUUUUACAGCAUUUUUUAAAUUCAUUUAUAUGUGAAAAUGCAUUUGAAUAAAACAGAUUGUUAUGCUAAAUAUUAAUAUUUAUGGAGGUAGUCAUGAUAUAUUGUAUAUUUAUACUACUAACAUAUAUAUAUAUAUAUAUAUAUCACAUUGAACAGCUGGUAAGCCAAUUGCAGCAUUUUAAAAAUAAUUUCUAUGAAGGUCAAAUAUUUGAUAAAAAUGAUAUUCGAUUUU